rnacentral:rRNA from 1 species
UACGUAGGGUGCGAGCGUUAAUCGGAAUUACUGGGCGUAAAGCGUGCGCAGGCGGCUUCGCAAGUCAGACGUGAAAUCCCCGGGCUUAACCUGGGAAUGGCGUUUGAAACUACGGAGCUGGAGUGUGGCAGAGGGAGGUGGAAUUCCACGUGUAGCGGUGAAAUGCGUAGAUAUGUGGAGGAAUACCGAUGGCGAAGGCAGCCUCCUGGGCCAACACCGACGCUCAUGCACGAAAGCGUGGGGAGCAAACAGG